UACGGAGGGAGCUAGCGUUGUUCGGAAUUACUGGGCGUAAAGGGUGCGUAGGCGGCGCGGAAAGUCGAGGGGUGAAACUCCCGGAGCUCAACUCCGGAACUGCCUUUGAUACUCCCGCGCUAGAGAGGCUGGAGGGGACAUCGGAAUUCACGGUGGAGCAGUGAAAUGCGUGGAUAUCGUGAGGAACACUAGUGGCGAAGGCGGAUGUCUGGACAGUAUCUGACGCUGAGGCACGAAGGCCAGGGGAGCGAACGGG
rnacentral:rRNA from 1 species